AUUGAACGCUGGCGGCGUGCCUAACACAUGCAAGUCGAGCGGUAACGCGGGAGCAAUCCUGGCGACGAGCGGCAGACGGGUGAGUAAUGCUUGGGUAUCUGCCCAAUAGUGGGGAAUAACCAGUCGAAAGACUGGCUAAUACCGCAUAACGCCCCCUCUUCUUCGGAAAAGGGGGGAAAGCGGGGGAUCGCAAGACCUCGCGCUAAUGGAUGAGCCCAAGUCGGAUAGCUAGUUGGUGAGGUAACGGCUCACCAAGGCGACGAUCCGUAGCUGGUCUGAGAGGACGACCAGCCACACCGGAACUGAGACACGGUCCGGACUCCUACGGGAGGCAGCAGUGGGGAAUAUUGGACAAUGGGGAAACCCUGAUCCAGCGACGCCGCGUGUGUGAAGAAGGCC
rnacentral:rRNA from 1 species